rnacentral:lncRNA from 1 species
AACGUUAGCCUAAAGAGUGUAAAAUCCAUUCCAAAAAAUUGUAAUUUCUGUAUCAAAUAGUGCAGUUUUCAUUAAAAUAGUGCAAAUUUAUUUUAAAACAAUGUAAUCUUAUUUUAAUAAUGCAAUUUCAUCUUCUUCUUUCUUCUUAUAUAAUUUUUUGUCUUUAUUUUUUUUAUUCUUUUUUCUUCUACAAUUUUUUUUUGUCACGCCUCUCUGCCAACGGCCACGGCGCCGGGGACGACGCCGUUUAAGAACCCCCGCUCCGAGGCUGCGGCGCAUGUCAUGCCCCAGAUUACACGUUCCCAGGGUACGCCGACAAAUCCGCCGUAUACAAAGAAUUUUUUCUGUAUACGAAGCGUAGCUGCAACUGUAAAACAUACAAUACUACAACCAGUAGCAUAGAGCUGCUAUGAAACUAAACAGGUAGAACAGAAAGGAAGUU